AGAUAUUUCUGAAGGAAAACAGAAACGCCCCAAAUCAAGACUUGAUUCUUAUUACUCAUAAGAGAGGACUGAAGCUUUAACAAUUAAUCUGCUUAGAACUGCAAUGUAAACUGCAUGCAGCUAUUACCUGAUUUUUAUUUCUACUACUUUUCUUCCAUCACAAGCCCUAUGCAGAAAAAAAAGUGGCUCCUGAACUCUGCUUGCCCAAGCCUGGCCUCAGCAUCACCCAACGGAAAUGACACAGCAGGAGAGAGAAGGAGGAAGAGAAGAAC